rnacentral:rRNA from 1 species
GACGAACGCUGGCGGCGUGCCUAAUACAUGCAAGUUGAGCGCUGAAGGUUGGUACUUGUACCAACUGGAUGAGCAGCGAACGGGUGAGUAACGCGUGGGGAAUCUGCCUUUGAGCGGGGGACAACAUUUGGAAACGAAUGCUAAUACUGCAUAAAAACUUUAAACACAAGUUUUAAGUUUGAAAGAUGCAAUUGCAUCACUCAAAGAUGAUCCCGCGUUGUAUUAGCUAGUUGGUGAGGUAAAGGCUCACCAAGGCGAUGAUACAUAGCCGACCUGAGAGGGGGAUCGGCCACAUUGGGACUGAGACACGGCCCAAACUCCUACGGGAGGCAGCAGUAGGGAAUCUUCGGCAAUGGACGAAAGUCUGACCGAGCAACGCCGCGGGAGUGAAGAAGGUUUUCGGAUCGUAAAACUCUGUUGGUAGAGAAGAACGUUGGUGAGAGUGGAAAGCUCAUCAAGUGACGGUAACUACCCAGAAAGGGACGGCUAACUACGUG